CAUCCCCCAUAACCAUCACCCGAGAAGGGGGUGGGGACAAGAGAUACCCCGGGAACAUCGAAGGAGUAUAGAAAUAGAGGACUGCUAGAGUCCAAAAGACCGGUAUUGGUAUUGACAGCCAUGACACAUCAACAAAGAAAACAGGUUCAACAACCAGAGUGUAACAAAUCAAGUAACCACACACAAAGCCAACUACUCAGAUACAAAACCAAUUCUGACACACAAAUCAGGUAAUAUUGAAUUUUAAGACAAA
rnacentral:lncRNA from 1 species